GGGCCGAGUGCAACGUUGCCAAGACAACUAGAGAGUUAGGCAGGUACUGGCAGGAGGCGUCACUAUGAACUGAGGGAUGGCCGCUGAGGCUACUGCUAAAGGGUCUGAAUUCCGUUCUCGGGUGAUGUCUAGCAGCUCACAAGCGUUGGUAACCCCAGCUCCUGCUGAGUGAACACCCUCAUCUGACCUCCACAGGCACCCAUACUCACGAAGCACCUAAAUGUUUAAAAUUUAAAACAAAACAAAAAUGUUCAAUAUGGCACCAUCUUCCAUGGGGCACAGCUAAAAGGAUAAACAGAAAAGUCAAGUGUGGCAGCCUGACCUAAAAUUCCAGCACUUGGGAGACUGAGACAGGAAGAUUGUGAAUUACAAGCCAGUUUAGGCAACAUAGCCAGAUUCUGUCUUUAAAAAAGAUUGGGGGUGGGAGGGAAAGAUAGCUCAGCAGUUAAGAGCACUGGCUGGUCUUGCAGAAGAUUCAAUUCCCAGCAUCCGAGGCUCCCAGCUGUCCCUAACUCCAGUUCCGUUGAACCUAGCGCCCCCUUCUGGCCUCAGCCGGCACUGCAUGCAUGUGGCACACAGACAUCCAUGUAGGCAAAACACCAGGAACAUAUGGUGAAAUUUAAAAGAAACAAGAGCCUGGCAGUGGCGGCACACGCCUUUAAUCCCAACACUCAGGAGGCAGAGGCAGGCGGAUCUCUGAGUUCGAGGCCAGCCUGAUCUACAGAGCGAGUUCCAGGACAGUCAGGACUACACAGAGAAACCCUGUCUCAAAAAACCAAAAAAAAAAAAAAAAGAAAGAAAGAAAAGAAAAGAAACAAGAGCCUGAUUUCCUUGGACGAUUGUUUCUUGGGCAGGAGGCUCAACUUUGCAAGCGCUUCAGUGCCCACCUCAGCUGUUUGUCUUGGAACCCCCCUCCACACCCCAGCCUUCAGGGACUAGCCUGGGGGCCCUAUUUCUGUGAAGUUCAGUUUUAUGAGGUAGAACAUUCCUUUUAAUAAAUGAGAUCUAGAAUGUC